GAUGAACGCUGGCGGCGUGCCUAAUACAUGCAAGUCGAGCGAACGGACGAGAAGCUUGCUUCUCUGGUGUUAGCGGCGGACGGGUGAGUAACACGUGGAUAACCUACCUAUAAGACUGGGAUAACUUCGGGAAACCGGAGCUAAUACCGGAUAAUAUUUUGAACCGCAUGGUUCAAAAGUGAAAGACGGUCUUGCUGUCACUUAUAGAUGGAUCCGCGCUGCAUUAGCUAGUUGGUAAGGUAACGGCUUACCAAGGCAACGAUGCAUAGCCGACCUGAGAGGGGGAUCGGCCACAAUGGAACUGAGACACGGUCCAGACUCCUACGGGAGGCAGCAGUAGGGAAUCUUCCGCAAUGGGCGAAAGCCUGACGGAGCAACGCCGCGUGAGUGAUGAAGGGCUUCGGAUCGUAAAACUCUGUUAUUAGGGAAGAACAUAUGUGUAAGUAACUGUGCACAUCUUGACGGGACCUAAUCAGAAAGCCACGGCUAACUACGGGC
rnacentral:rRNA from 1 species